rfam:Streptomyces sp. NRRL F-6491 P443contig32.1, whole genome shotgun sequence.
GCGAGACACCUGGUCCAUUGUCCGAGCACGACCGAUAGACUGUUCGUGGAACGUCGCGGGGCGCAGCCCCCUGCCGGUCCGAGCCACGAGUAGCCAGCAGCCGCUGCAACCCCAGGGAG